AGAGUUUGAUCCUGGCUCAGAACGAACGCUGGCGGCGUGCUUAACACAUGCAAGUCGAACGUGAUCCAGAGCUUGCUCUGGUGAAAGUGGCGCACGGGUGAGUAACGCGUGGAUAAUCUGCCCUGGUAUCUGGGAUAACAUCUCGAAAGGGGUGCUAAUACCGGAUAAGCCUACGGUCUCUUCGGAGUCUGCAGGAAAAGGUGGCCUCUAUUUAUAAGCUACCGUAUCAGGAUGAGUCCGCGUACCAUUAGCUAGUUGGUGGGGUAAUGGCCCACCAAGGCUACGAUGGUUAGCUGGUCUGAGAGGAUGAUCAGCCACACUGGAACUGAGACACGGUCCAGACUCCUACGGGAGGCAGCAGUGGGGAAUUUUGCGCAAUGGGGGAAACCCUGACGCAGCAACGCCGCGUGAGUGAUGAAGGCUUUCGGGUCGUAAAGCUCUGUCAGAGGGGAAGAAAUGGGUCGUGCUAAUAUCGCGACUUCUUGACGGUACCCUCAAAGGAAGCACCGGCUAACUCCGUGCCAGCAGCCGCGGUAAUAC
rnacentral:rRNA from 2 species